CUCCGUACGGGGGGCAGCAGUGGGGAAUCUUGCGCAAUGGACGAAAGUCUGACGCAGCAACGCCGCGUGAGGGACGAAGGCUUUCUGAGUUGUAAACCUCUUUCACCAGGAGCGAAAACAGACGGUACCUGGGGGAAGAAGCGCCGGCUAACUACGUGCCAGCAGCCGGUAAUAC
rnacentral:rRNA from 1 species